rnacentral:ncRNA from 1 species
GAGUGCUUGUCUACUGCGAGUCAAAGGGUGUUAAAACCUUGCGGCGAAAUGAAAGUGAAGGUCGAUCUUGAAUUGACCGACGUGGGAUCUGUGCUCUUCGGAGUGCUGCGCACCACGGCCCUAUACGUGUCACUUGUGACUGUGUAGAGGUUGAGCAGUUGGCAAACGACCCGAAAGAUGGUGAACUAUGCCUGAGCAGGAUGAAGCCAGAGGAAACUCUGGUGGAAGUCCGUAUCGGUUCUGACGUGCAAAUCGAUCGAUAGACUUGGGUAUAGGGGCGAAAGACUAAUCGAACCAUCUAGUAGCUGGUUCCUUCCAAAGUUUCCCUCAGGAUAGCUGGAUCUCUGGCAGUUAUAUUCGGUAAAGCUAAUGAUUAGAGGCCUUGGGGGCGUAAUGCCCUCAACCUAUUCUCAAACUUUCAAUGGAUAUGAAGUUGCAGUUUCUUUAGUGAACUGACAACGUGAAUGCGAGGUCCAAGUGGGCCAUUUUUGGUAAGCAGAACUGGCGCUGUGGGAUGAACCAAACGUGGAGUUAAGGUGCCUAACUUCUCGCUCAUGAGACCCCAUAAAAGGUGUUGGUUGAUAUUGACAGCAGGACGGUGGCCAUGGAAGUCGGUACCCGCUAAGGCCCAUAGGCCCAUAGGACCUCAGACGCCACACGUGGGGCUCGAACCCUGGACACCGAGAACGAUGAACGCGUGUGCUAACCACAAUACCAUAGCGGCAGACCCAGACGCCGGAGCCAUGGGCCAUAUAUGAAUGGUAGGGGUGGUGGGUAGGUGUGGGAGUGAGGGGGUGUUGAAGGUGUUGAAGUGAGAGGUUUUUAAAAACUUCAGGAUGUUCAGGA